rnacentral:rRNA from 1 species
UACGUAGGGGGCAAGCGUUGUCCGGAAUUAUUGGGCGUAAAGAGCGUGUAGGUGGUCCGGUAAGUCCGCUGUGAAAGUCCAGGGCUCAACCCUGGAAUGCCGGUGGAUACUGCCGGGCUAGAGUCCGGAAGAGGCGAGUGGAAUUCCUGGUGUAGCGGUGAAAUGCGCAGAUAUCAGGAGGAACACCGAUGGCGAAGGCAGCUCGCUGGGACGGUACUGACGCUGAGACGCGAAAGCGUGGGGAGCAAACAGG